rnacentral:rRNA from 1 species
UGGGCCUCAAAUAAUGUGUGCCUACCCCCUA